UACAGAGGUCCCAGGCGUUGUUCGGAUUCAUUGGGCGUAAAGGGUGCGUAGGCGGCGCGGUAAGUCGGGUGUGAAAUCUCGGGGCUUAACUCCGAAACUGCAUUCGAUACUGCCGUGCUUGAGGACUGGAGAGGAGACUGGAAUUUACGGUGUAGCGGUGAAAUGCGUAGAUAUCGUAAGGAAGACCAGUGGCGAAGGCGGGUCUCUGGACAGUUCCUGACGCUGAGGCACGAAGGCCAGGGGAGCAAACGGG
rnacentral:rRNA from 1 species